rnacentral:lncRNA from 1 species
UUUUAAAAACUAUAACAGUGACUCCUUUCUAUUUGGUUUGCCUGGUACAUGUUAGGACAUGUUGGAACCUUCACACAAAACUUAUUGAAUAGGAAGUACUGAGAAGGAGGGAAAAGAAAGGAGACAUAAAAAGAGAACCCUGCAAAAGUAAGAUACAAGUAUACUGAAAGGAAUGUCAGCUAAGAAACAGGACACCAUUGAGCAUAACUGUUGAAUUCAUACCCACAUGCAGUUAUGCUUUGUGGAGGGAGCAUGACAAUGAGCUUCUCAGAGCAGAAUAAAAAUGUGGCUGAUGCAGAACGUGACCGGACAGUUUGGCACCAGAUAUAACAUGGUAUGUAGAAGAUGAUGACAUGCUCAGAAUAAAUCUGUUUGAUAAAAUCA